rnacentral:rRNA from 1 species
GUCUUGCAAUUGGAUUGAGAACAACGUACAACUCUUAUCGAUAAGCCAUUGGAGGGCAAGUCUGGUGCCAGCAGCCGCGGUAAUUCCAGCUCCAAUAGCGUAUAUUAACGUUGUUGCAGUUAAAAAGCUCGUAGUUGAAGUGAGGGAGUGUGUGGGUAUGAGAGCUAGUCUCAAGUACUCACAACCUCCCCCCUCCAAUCGGUGUAGUGGGGUAUUCAGUUAUUCUACUACUCCUUUGGUCGUUUACUGUGAGAAAAUUAGAGUGUUCAAAGCGGGCGUUUGUUUGAAUAGAUUAGCAUGGAAUAAUGAUUGAAGGCUUUCGUGUUCGAUUUGAUUGGUUUGUUCAUGGAAGCAAGGUUAAAAGGAACAGUUGGGGGUAUUCAUAUUCACUAGUUAGAGGUGAAAUUCUCGGAUUUAUGGAAGAUGAACAAG